UUUUAAACAUUCUGGAACAAGACUGAUGAGUGGAGUCAGGUGUUUCAUAUAAGGAGACAUUUAAAACAUUUUGGGAGGGGGACCUUGAGGACUGAAGUUGGGAACCACUGACCUAAAGGAUUAUUAGGAACACCUGUUCAAUUUCUCAUUUAUGCAGUUAUCUAAUCAACCAAUCACAUGGCAGUUGCUUCAAUGCAUUUAGGGGUGUGGUCCUGGUCAAGAAAAUCUCCUGAACUCCAAACUGAAUGUCAGAAUGGGAAAGAAAGGUAUGGCGUUUAAUCAGACCCAGCACACACAAAAACCACGCGUGAGUGAGAGAUACGAGCACGCGAACACUAUUCGAGCGCUAAAAAGCAGAACACAAUUGUGUAAAGCAUCCUUGCGAGAGCGCACCUCCGCUCAGCGCGCACAAAUGCAGUCACGCGAGCAAGGGCUUGGAUGAGCUUUUGCACGACUCUGACUCUCUCUAUGCUCUCACAGCUGUACCACACACGCUCGCUCGAUCAAUAUGACUAUUGGGUCUUUGGGGGCGGGACAUUGACUGAUGUCUUCGUGCCUAUGAUUGGUUGGUUGAUUUAAUCAGUGAUUCGUUCUCAGAUCUUCUGUUCUCAAUUCGUAUCCAGUCAAUCUAGGUAGAGAAGACACGUUUUAAUAGGACCAUUAUGUCGGAGCACGUCAUUUUAAAACAUUGUCUUGUUUGAUCCAUGCAAUAGGCUGCAAACCAAACAAUAAUGCCAAUUUUAUUAUAUAUUUUGUUUACUGUUUAUCAUCCUGCAAUAUAUACUAUAGGCUACAUAUUGACAUUGUCAGGUUACAGAGUUGGUUCAGACUUAGCAUUAGCAAACUUUAGUAUAGUCCUGUACAUAUAUAUAAACAAACUAGAUUUGAACUCCAAUUAUAUAUACUCCAAUAUAUAUAUAUAUAUUAGUUUUUGUAGCCAUUCUGUAUCUUUUCAGGGUUAAAAUAGCAUUUAAUUUUACUCUGUUGUUGUAUUUGAGUUUCAUUUCAUUUGCCAUAAUAUGGUUGUUAAAUUAUCUACAUGUUAAACAACAAACAAAAUACAUACCUUAAAAAGGGGCAUAUUGUUUUGUUAUGUUUGCAUGGUUUAAACAAGACUAAUGUUUUAACAUAGAUUACCUACUUCGACAUAAUGAUCAUAUUAAAACAUGUUUUCUCUACCUAGAUUGACUGGAGAUAUAUUGUGGAACAAGAGAUCAUCCAUGUCACUAAUCAAAUCAAACAACCAAUCACAGAUGCAGAGACAUCAGUCAAUGUCCCGCCCCCAAAGUCGCAAAAGUAAUCUCGAGCGAGCGAGCGCGUGUGGUGCAGCUGUGAGAGCAUAGAGAGAGUCGAGCAAGCGCUCAUCCAAACCCUUGCUCACGUGACUGCAUUUGUGCGCGCUGAGCGGAGGGGCGCUCUCGCGAGGAUGCUUUUUCCGCGUGCGAAUAGUUUUCUGCGCCAUGUAUCUCUCCCUCGCGCGUGGUUUUUGUGCGCGCGACUUUUGGGUCUGAUUAAACGCCACAGAAAGGUUUUAAGGAUUUAAGCAAUUUUGAGUGUGGUAUGGACUGAUUCAACCUGACAGAAGAGCAACUGUGACUGAAAUAACCACUCGUUACAACCGAGGUAUGCCGCAAAGCAUUUGUGAAGCCACAACACGCACAACCUCGAGGUGGAUGGGCUACAACAGCAGUAGACCCCACCGGGUACUACUUAUCUCCACUACAAAUAUGAAAAAGAGGCUACAAUUUGCACGAGCUCACCAAAAGUGUUGAAAAAUGUUGCCUGGUCUGAUGAGUCUCUGUUGAGACAUUCAGAUGGUAGAGUCAGAAUUUGGCAUAAACAGAAUGAGAACAUGGAUUCAUCAUGCCUUGUUACCACUGUGCAUGUUGGUGGUGUAAUGGUGUGGGGGAUGUUUUCUUGGCACACUUUAGGCCCCUUAGUGCCAAUUGGGCAUCGUUUAAAUGCCACGGCCUACCUGAGCAUUGUUUCUGACCAUGUCCAUCCUAUGACCACCAUGUACCCAUCCUCUGAUGGCUACUUCCAGCAGGAUAAUGCAUCAUGUCACAAAGCUUGAAUCAUUUCAAAUUGGUUUCUUGAACAUGACAAUGAGUUCACUGUACUAAAAUGGCCCCCACAGUCACCAGAUCUCAACCCAAUAGAGCAUCUUUGGGAUGUGGUGGAACGGGAGCUUCGUGCCCUGGAUAUGCAUCCCACAAAUCUCCAUCAACUGCAAGAUGCUAUCCUAUCAAUAUGGGUUAACAUUUUUAAAGAAUGCUUUCAGCACCUUGUUGAAUCAAUGCCACGUAGUAUUAAGGCAGUUCUGAAGGCAAAAGAGGGUCAAACACAGUAUAAGUAUGGUGUUCCUAAUCCUUUAGGUGGGUGUAUUUACUGCGAUGUUUGAAGUUAAAGCCUGAUAAGCAUUGCAUUUACCAUGCGUUUACCACAGUAACUGUAGAUUUAGUGUGUUAUUUUUAGUUAAAGCCUAGAAAACACAACCUGUAUCGUGCUGCUACCAUAGUAAAGUUAUUUCUGUUGUGGUACAUGUGCUUAAUGCAUAGUACCAAACCCUUUUUUUAGUAAACACAAACCUUACAAUGGUAGGUCUACUGUGGUAUAUGGUACAGUAAGCAUUGCAUAUAUGCUUUUAGCACAGUAACUGUACUAAUGUGUUGUAUUCAGUUAAAGCACAGUAACACAAACCAUUGCCAUGGUUUAAACACAGUCACUGUAGUUUAGCCUUUUAAUUUGUAAUAAAAGCAGCGCUAUCACAACACUUACCUAUCUUUUAAUACCUUUCAUGUCCAAUCAUUGUUUUUGUCUUGCAGUUACUCCAUAUCAGUCAUUUGAUGGACAGUGGGCAACCAAAUAAAAAAGAUGGCAAUUUCUGCAAAAUGAUUAAUUCUAUAGACUUGCUGCUCCACAAGUUGGAAAUACUUGGUGUCUUACCAAUGUUAUUUAUAACUUUGCAGAGAAUCCUGCACCACUCUACCAAAAUUUAAGGUUGCCCCUCUAGAGUCAGUUGCCCCACCACUAUGGUCAGAGACCCCACCGCUGCAGCCGAAGACCCCGCCUCUCCAGUCAGCGACCCCACCACUGUGGCCAGUGACCCUGCCAUUACCAUCAUAGGCCCCACCACUACAAUCAACCACCCUGUCACUACAGUCAGCGUUUCCGCAACUGUGGCCAGAGAGUCCACCACUACCAUCAGAGGCCCUGCGACUACUGUCAGCAACCUCGCAACUGCGGCCAGAGACCACAGCUGUGGUAAAUUACUUUUAUUUUAAUAUUGAUAGUUGCUAAAUUAAAUCCACUCGAGUUUACUGGUUAUUGGUUAUUUAGGGCGCACUCACAUUAUCCAAGCCAAACCAAACCAUGCCCCAGCGCGAUUGUCACCCCUCCCUACUCCCCCAGGUGCACGCGCUCACACUGUACUUUUUGUCGAUCCGAGUCCGGGCGUGCUUUCGUCAUUAAAAUGCGAUUGUUUUGAAAAAAGCAGGAAGUAAAGCUCUCCCUUAACACUGGAACCCACCAUAAUAAUAAGUCUGUGUUUUUUAUUCGGAGUCGUUUGGUGCGCGAUUACAGACAGCCUUCUCACAUGUCAUCAUAUUCCUUAGUUGAUCUGUCAGGUGCGCAGCUCGGACAUUCACGUAACCCCGCUGCGCGCAUCAAAAGGUUUUUACGGCGGCAGAUGAAGGUGAGUGGUCGCGCAGCUGACGUCUUCACCUUUUGAAUCGCGUUAAGGCGCGAAUGCGCUCACACCACAGCCUUCCGCGCCUGAGCCCAAGUGAACCGGGCUCUGGCCCACCUCUGCAACCCGGCCGUGGCGCGAUUAACCAAUCCGUGCCCGGGCGCGGAACAGAGCAAUCACACUUUUCAAACAAACCAGGCUUUGGGGGUCAAACGCGCCCGAGCGCAGUUUGGUUUGGAUAGUGUGAGUGCGCCCUUAAACGUUCAUGGACCCCAUUCACUUCCAUGGUAGGACAAAAGAAUACCAUGAAAGUAAAUGUCCAUGAAUGGUUUGGUUACAAACAUUUCUCAAAAUAUCUUUCUUUGUGUUCAUCGGAACAAAGAAGUUUAAACAGGUUUGUAACAACAUGAGAGCGAGUGAUGACAGAAUCUUUUUAAUAGUGUGCUGCAGGUAUGGCUUAUUUUGUAGCCUAACCCCGAAAUUAGCGGGACACUGGUUCCCUCAAUAAAAAGCCUAUUCAUAUUUGAAUCAAAAGUCUAUGGGAUAAUGAAUGGGCUUUUUAGAAAGGGAAACAUUGUACUGCUAACUUCCGGGUUAGCCUACAAAAGUAGGUCACCCCUGCGGCACUCUGUUUUUUUAAACAACACUGUGUACAACUAAAUUGUUUUUUUUUUCCUUUAUAGUGGCAAGAAGUUCCUGGGUGUCUGAGGAUGCUGUACAGUAGUAUGUCUCUGUUUAAAAACAUGCCAUUAUACAUAUCAAUACAGUAUUUGUCAUCAUAGAAAGUUAUUCUAUACAUUUUGUUUAACACUUUAGUUUGUCUUAUUCUUGAAGGUCUGUUGUUGUCAAAAUGUAUUGAUAUUUAGAUAUAAAAAUCAGGGGGAAAAAACAGUUUUGUUGUCAACACAUCUACACAUGUUGUUGUUACACUAAUGUGUGGUGAAUACUAUGUAUUAAAGAUGUUUAUAUACAAAAUUUUAUAAAUAAGUUCUUGUGAUUUUUAUUUCAUAAUUGAUUUGGAUAAAAAGGAAAUACAAAUUUCCUUCUCCUAGAAAUGAAUAUUUAAGACAAUAAUGUGCUACAUACUACCUACAUGAACUCUGAACCUUGUUGUUAUAUUGAGUGGCCUGGUAAACAAUUAAGUUUUACAUGUCUACUGAAUGUUUACAUGGUUGUCUUUAUUUACCGUCAUCUCUGUACUCUUGAUUUUGUUCUACAGAUCAUACUAAUAAAAUAAAUGA